UGUUUAGGGCAUCGGCACGGAGAGGUGUUCGUGAGAGGGAGUUUUUUUGUUGGGGGUCUUGAGCAUCGCCCGCCCAUCAUCCACCGGAUACCGCGAGAGAUGAAGCUGAAGCAGCUUGAGGGCCUCCUCGGCACGCUCCAACAAUUCUCCCACCCAAAGGUGGAACUGGAGCAGUAUCCGACAGGACCACACAUUGCGUCCCGGUUGCUGUAUACGGCCGAAAAUACAUUUGGUGAUAUAAGUGGCAAGGUCGUGGCUGACUUCGGUUGUGGCUGUGGUACAUUAGGUUUAGCAAGUGCACUUUUGGGUGCAGAGCAGGUUAUUGGCAUUGACAUUGAUCCACAAUCUCUAGAAAUUGCUUCAAUAAACGCUGCAGAUAUGGAGCUGGACAUAGAUUUCAUCUGGUGUGACGUCAACAAGUUAAGAUGGAGAGAUGAUGUGGUUGACACUGUUGUGAUGAACCCUCCUUUUGGGACUCGGAAAAAAGGAUCUGACAUGGAGUUUCUUGCCAAGGCUUUAAAGGUUGCUUCUCAAGCAGUCUAUUCUUUGCACAAGACUACAACCAGAGAUUACAUUAAAAGAACAGCUAUUCGAGAUUGCAAUGCUAGAAGCGCCGAUAUUUUAUGUGAGCUCCGGUUUGAUGUGCCACAAAUUUAUAAAUUUCACAAAAAGAAAGAGGUCAAUAUUGCGGUGGAUCUCUGGCGCUUUGUUCCUUAUCCCACUCAAGAAAGUGCAGACAGCUGAGUGACAUGAGACAGCUAACAACUGUUAGAUGCUAUCCUGAUAGUUUACAGUUUGCUUUCCUCAAUGUUGCCACCAGAGCCUCAUCAGCCUGAUGCUGGAGAUCAGAAGGAUUUAGUUUAUUGGCAACGUGGGAUGAGAAAGUAUUAUUCCAAGAAGAAUGCAUUGUUGGGAGAAGUGCCUGUGGCAGGGAUUCUGGUGGAACUAUCAUCAAGCAAAUGAGAAUUAAUAAAGGAUGUACACGCAAGCAUACAUAAAUUGCUUUACUUGGAGUGCUUUCUUGUGUUGUAUUCCUAAGUGGAUAAAACAAUCUUGAAUGUAUGAUUUGAAUUAUUUGACUUUUACUGUAUUAUUUGAAUUACCUAUCAAUGUUGGACUACCAUAUGUCAUGCUACAUGGUAGUGACAUUUUCUGACCGGACUUCUAAAUGUAUUUCAUACUCUGUAAAGUGGAGUAUUUAUAAUCUCAUGAUAGCUUCUGCUUC